rfam:Candidatus Methanosphaerula palustris E1-9c, complete genome.
GGGCUCAUAGCUCAGUUGGAAGAGCGCCACCCUUGUGGGGUGGAGGCCAUAGGUUCAAAUCCUAUUGAGUCCA